rfam:Triticum urartu cultivar G1812 contig1442362, whole genome shotgun sequence.
AUAGUACUCCCUCCGUCCGGGAAAACUUGUCCCAAGCUGGUCCAUCAAAUGGAUGAAUCUAGCACUAACUUGAUGCUAGAUACAUCAAUUUAAAGGACAAGUUUUUUUGGACGGAGGGAGUAUGAU